rnacentral:rRNA from 1 species
CUACCGUAGGCAGCAGUGCGGAAUAUUAUACAAUGGGGGCAACCCUGAUCCAGCAAUGCCGCGUGUGUGAAGAAGCCUUSGGKUGUAAGCUCUUUUUAUACGGAGGAAAGGUUAAUGGUUAAUAGCUGCUAGCUGUGACGUUACCUAUAAAAAAAGCACCGGCUAACUCCGUGCCCCCCGCCGCGAUAAUA